AGUCGAGCGGGAGCCUUCGGGCUCUAGCGGCGAACGGUCGAGUAACACGUAGACAACCUGCCUCCGGGUGGGGGAUAACCGCGGGAAACCGCGGCUAAUACCGCAUCGGGCCCCGGGAGAGAACUCCGGGUGGCCAAAGGUUCCUUCGGGAGCCGCCGGGAGAUGGGUCUGCGGCCUAUCAGCUAGUUGGUGAGGUAACGGCUCACCAAGGCGACGACGGGUAGCUGGUCUGAGAGGACGACCAGCCGGACGGGGACUGAGACACGGCCCCGACUCCUUCGGGAGGCAGCAAUGAGGGAUAUUGCGCAAUGGGCGAAAGCCUGACGCAGCCAUGCCGCGUGAAUGAUGAAGGUCUUAGGAUUGUAAAAUUCUUUCACCGGGGAAGAUAAUGACGGUACCCGGAGAAGAAGCCCCGGCUA
rnacentral:rRNA from 1 species